rnacentral:rRNA from 1 species
ACGUAGGGGGCAAGCGUUGUUCGGAUUUACUGGGCGUAAAGGGCGCGUAGGCGGCAAUUCAAGUCAGUUGUGAAAUCUCCGGGCUUAACUCGGAAAGGUCAACUGAUACUGCGCGGCUAGAGUGCAGAAGGGGCAACUGGAAUUCUCGGUGUAGCGGUGAAAUGCGUAGAUAUCGAGAGGAACACCUGCGGCGAAGGCGGGUUGCUGGGCUGACACUGACGCUGAUGCGCGAAGGCCAGGGGAGCGAACGGGA